rnacentral:rRNA from 1 species
GGUGAGUAACACGUGGGUAACCUGCCUUAAAGUCCCUUAUAGCACUUGGAAACAGGUGCUAAUACCGCAUAACCAUCAAAACCACCUGGUUUUGAUGUUAAAGAUGGUUCUGCUAUCGCUUUAAGAUGGACCCGCGGCGUAUUAGCUAGUUGGUGAGGUAACGGCUUACCAAGGCAAUGAUACGUAGCCGAACUGAGAGGUUGAUCGGCCACAUUGGGACUGAGACACAGCCCAAACUCCUACGGGAGGCAGCAGUAGGGAAUCUUCCACAAUGGACGAAAGUCUGAUGGAGCAACGCCGCGUGAGUGAAGAAGGUUUUCGGAUCGUAAAACUCUGUUGUCAGAGAAGAACGUGUGUGAGAGUAACUGUUCACGCAGUGACGGUAUCUGACCAGAAAGUCACGGCUAACUACGUGCCAGCAGCCGCGGUAAUACGUAGGUGGCAAGCGUUGUCCGGAUUUAUUGGGCGUAAAGGGAACGCAGGCGGUCUUUUAAGUCUGAUGUGAAAGCCUUCGGCUUAACCGAAGUCGGGCAUUGGAAACUGGGAGACUUGAGUGCAGAAGAGGAGAGUGGAACUCCAUGUGUAGCGGUGAAAUGCGUAGAUAUAUGGAAGAACACCAGUGGCGAAAGCGGCUCUCUGGUCUGUAACUGACGCUGAGGUUCGAAAGCGUGGGUAGCAAACAGGAUUAGAUACCCUGGUAGUCCACGCC